rnacentral:tmRNA from 1 species
GGGGCUGAUUCUGGAUUCGACGGGAUUAGCGAAGCCCAAGGUGCACGUCGAGGUGCGGUAGGCCUCGUAAAUAAACCGCAAAAAAAUAGUCGC